rnacentral:rRNA from 1 species
AUUGAACGCUGGCGGCAGGCCUAACACAUGCAAGUCGAACGGUAGCACAGGGAGCUUGCUCUCGGGUGACGAGUGGCGGACGGGUGAGUAACGUCUGGGAAACUGCCCGAUGGAGGGGGAUAACUACUGGAAACGGUAGCUAAUACCGCAUAACGUCGCAAGACCAAAGUGGGGGACCUUCGGGCCUCACACCAUCGGAUGUGCCCAGAUGGGAUUAGCCAGUAGGGGGGGUAAUGGCUCACCUAGGCGACGAUCCCUAGCUGGUCUGAGAGGGUGACAAGCCACACUGGAACUGAGACACGGUCCAGACUCCUACGGGAGGCAGCAGUGGGGAAUAUUGCACAAUGGGCGCAAGCCUGAUGCAGCCAUGCCGCGUGUAUGAAGAAGGCCUUCGGGUUGUAAAGUACUUUCAGCGGGGAGGAAGGCGGUGAAGUUAAUAACUUCACCGAUAGACGUUACCCGCAGAAGAAGCACCGGCUAACUCCGUGCCAGCAGCCGCCGUAA